UUCCCAAAGAGUUGCAGUGACAUAGAAA
rnacentral:piRNA from 1 species